UCAAUUGGUAUUGCUUACGGAGAAAAAGAUGUGAUAAAGAAUCAUGAGAGGCCUGGCGAAAGAGAACAUGAGGAGCGUGACCCAAGACAACAACCACGUCCGCGUAAACAAGAGGAGCAAGAAAGAGAGCAUAGGAGAGAAGAGGAGCAUGAUCGUGACCCUUCACGUGGUAGGAGGGAGAGCGAAGAACGCCAAGAAGAAGAGCGUGAACGAAGGAGAGAACCUUGUAGGGAGAGAGAGCAAGAACAACAACCUCAACAUGGAAGGA
rnacentral:lncRNA from 1 species